rnacentral:rRNA from 1 species
UUUAUUAGAUUGUUCUCUACUUGGAUAACUGUGGGAAUUCUAGAGCUAAUACAUGCGCAAAAGCUCCGACCUUCGGGGAGGAGUGCAGUUAUUAGACCAAAACCAGCCGAGCUUCGGCUCGAACUGUUUGGUGACUCUGGAUAACGACGAGCGGAUCGCAUGGCCUUGUGCCGGCGACAUAUCUUUCAAGUGUCUGACCUAUCAACUGACGAUGGUACGCGAUAUGCCUACCAUGGUGAUAACGGGUAACGGAGAAUAAGGGUUCGACUCCGGAGAGGGAGCCUGAGAAAUGGCUACCACAUCCAAGGAUGGCAGCAGGCGCGCAAAUUACCCACUCUCAGCACGAGGAGGUAGUGACGAAAAAUAACAAUGCGGGACUCUAUGAGGCCUCGCAAUUGGAAUGAGCGCACUUUAAAUCGUUCGACGAGGAUCUAUUGGAGGGCAAGUCUGGUGCCAGCAGCCGCGGUAAUUCCAGCUCCAAUAGCGUAUAUUAAAGUUGUUGCAGUUAAAAAGCUCGUAGUUGGAUCUGGGGUUCGGGUCGGCGGUUUGCCACUCUGUGGCUACUGCCGUGCUCGACUCUUACUAGCUGGUGCGUCUCUUGGUAUUCUUCACUGAGUGCCACGAGAGCCUAGCAUGUUUACUUUGAAAAAAUUAGAGUGCUCAAAGCAGGCGUCUACCCCUGAAUAGUGUUGCAUGGAAUAAUGGGAAUAGGACCUCGGUUCUAUUUUGUUGGUUUUCGGAACUUGAGGUAAUGAUUAAGAGGGACGGUCGGGGGCAUUCGUAUUUCGGUGUUAGAGGUGAAAUUCUUGGAUCGCUGAAAGACGGACAAAUGCGAAAGCAUCUGCCAAGAACGUCUCCAUUAAUCAAGAACGAAAGUCAGAGGUUCGAAGACGAUCAGACACCGUCCUAGUUCUGACCAUAAACGAUGCCAACUAGCGAUCCGCAGUGGUUGCUAUAAACGGACUCUGCGAGCAGCUUCCGGGAAACCAAAGUGUUUGGGUUCCGGGGGAAGUAUGGUUGCAAAGCUGAAACUUAAAGGAAUUGACGGAAGGGCACCACCAGGAGUGGAGCCUGCGGCUUAAUUUGACUCAACACGGGGAAACUCACCCGGUCCGGACACCGUAAGGAUUGACAGGUCGAGAGCUCUUUCUUGAUUCGGUGGAUGGUGGUGCAUGGCCGUUCUUAGUUGGUGGAGUGAUUUGUCUGGUUAAUUCCGAUAACGAACGAGACUCUAGCCUGCUAACUAGUUGCGCCGUGUUCAUUCGCGGCUGUAGACUUCUUAGAGGGACAGAUGGCGUUUAGCCAUACGAAACUGAGCAAUAACAGGUCUGUGAUGCCCUUAGAUGUCCGGGGCCGCACGCGCGCUACACUGAAGGAGUCAGCGUGUGCUAUCCGCGCUCGGAAGAGCUCGGUAACCCGUUGAAACUCCUUCGUGCUUGGGAUUGUGGCUUGUAAUUAUCGCGCAUGAACGAGGAAUUCCCAGUAAGUGCAAGUCAUCAGCUUGCGCUGACUACGUCCCUGCCCUUUGUACACACCGCCCGUCGCUACUACCGAUUGAA